AGAGUUUGAUCCUGGCUCAGGACGAACGCUGGCGGCGUGGAUAAGGCAUGCAAGUCGAACGGGAUGGGGAUUCAAGCAAUUGUGUCCCUUGAGAGUGGCGAACGGGUGAGUAACACGUGGGUAACAUACCUCCGGGUGGGGGAUAACUCAGGGAAACCUGGGCUAAUACCGCAUACGGUCAGACUGCCCAUGGCAGAUUGAUCAAAGGUGGGGACCUUCGGGCCUGCCGCCUGGAGAUUGGCCCGCGUCCCAUUAGCUUGUUGGCGGGGUAAAGGCCCACCAAGGCGACGAUGGGUAGCCGGCCUGAGAGGGUGUCCGGCCACACUGGGAUUGAGAUACGGCCCAGACUCCUUCGGGAGGCAGCAGUCGAGAAUCUUCCCCAAUGGGCGAAAGCCUGAGGGAGCGACGCCGCGUGAGGGAUGAAGGCCCUUUGGGUUGUAAACCUCUGUUAGGGGGAAAGAAAAGCAGUGGAAGCAAUAUGUCCAUUGCCUGACGUUACCCCCAGAGAAAGCUCCGGCCAACUCCGUGCCAGCAGCCGCGGUAAUACGGGGGGAGCAAGCGUUGUCCGGAAUCAUUGGGCGUAAAGGGCGUGUAGGCGGCUUGGCAAGUCGAAUGUGAAAUCCCACGGCUCAACCGUGGAACUGCGUUCGAAACUGCCUUGCUUGAGUGCGGGAGAGGUGUGCGGAAUUCCUGGUGUAGCGGUGGAAUGCGUAGAUAUCAGGAAGAACACCGGUGGCGAAGGCGGCACACUGGCCCAGCACUGACGCUGAGGCGCGAAAGCGUGGGGAGCGAACGGGAUUAGAUACCCCGGUAGUCCACGCUGUAAACUUUGGGCACUAGGUAUUGGAGGUCUCAACCCCUUCAGUGCCGUAGCUAACGCGUUAAGUGCCCCGCCUGGGGAGUACGGUCGCAAGGCUGAAACUCAAAGGAAU
rnacentral:rRNA from 1 species